UGGGAAUUUUGGACAAUGGGCGCAAGCCUGAUCCAGCAAUGCCGCGUGCAGGAUGAAGGCCUUCGGGUUGUAAACUGCUUUUGUACGGAGCGAAAAGGUCUGCCCUAAUACGGUGGGCUCAUGACGGUACCGUAAGAAUAAGCACCGGCUAACUACGUGCCAGCAGCUGCGGCAAUACGUAGGGUGCGAGCGUUAAUCGGAAUUACUGGGCGUAAAGCGUGCGCAGGCGGUUAUAUAAGACAGAUGUGAAAUCCCCGGGCUCAACCUGGGACCUGCAUUUGUGACUGUAUAGCUAGAGUACGGGAGAGGGGGAUGGAAUUCCGCGUGUAGCAGUGAAAUGCGUAGAUAUGCGGAGGAACACCGAUGGCGAAGGCAAUCCCCUGGACCUGUACUGACGCUCAGGCACGAAAGCGUGGGGAGCAAACA
rnacentral:rRNA from 1 species